AUUGAACGCUGGCGGCAUGCUUUACACAUGCAAGUCGAACGGUAACAGCACUUCGGUGGCUGACGAGUGGCGAACGGGUGAGUAUUCCUCGGGACGUGCCCUGGAGGUGGGGAUAACUACUCGGAAGAGUAGCUUAUUCCGCCUGAGAUCUUAGGAUGAAAGCAGGGGACCUUCCGGCCUUGCGCUUCUAGAGCGGCUGAUGGCAGAUUAGGUAGUUGGUGGGAUAAAAGCUUACCAAGCCGACGAUCUGUAGCUGGUCUGAGAGGACGACCAGCCACACUGGGACUGAGACACGGCCCAGACUCCUACGGGAGGCAGCAGUGGGGAAUUUUGGACAAUGGGCGCAAGCCUGAUCCAGCAAUGCCGCGUGCAGGAUGAAGGCCUUCGGGUUGUAAACUGCUUUUGUACGGAACGAAAAGCCCUCUUCUAAUACAGGAGGGUCAUGACGGUACCGUAAGAAUAAGCACCGGCUAACUACGUG
rnacentral:rRNA from 1 species